GACGAACGCUGGCGGCGUGCCUAAUACAUGCAAGUUGAGCGCUGAAGGUUGGUACUUGUACCGAUUGGAUGAGCAGCGAACGGGUGAGUAACGCGUGGGGAAUCUGCCUUUGAGCGGGGGACAACAUUUGGAAACGAAUGCUAAUACCGCAUAAAAACUUUAAACACAAGUUUUAAGUUUGAAAGAUGCAAUUGCAUCACUCAAAGAUGAUCCCGCGUUGUAUUAGCUAGUUGGUGAGGUAAAGGCUCACCAAGGCGAUGAUACAUAGCCGACCUGAGAGGGUGAUCGGCCCCCAUGGGACUGGGACACGGCCCAAACUCCUACGGGAGGGAGCAGUAGGGGAACUUCGGGAAUGGGCGGAAGUCUGAACGGGCAACGCCGCGUGAGGGAAGAAAGGUUUCGGGUCGGUAAACUCUGUUGGUAGGGAAGAAAGUUGGGGAGAAUGGAAAGCUCAUCAAGUGACGGUAACUACCCAGAAAGCGACGGCUAACUACGUG
rnacentral:rRNA from 1 species